GGGCGGGUAAGGGACCCCCUCCCUGUCAUGGGAAAAGCAGGAAUAUGUUGGAGCACGAAGAUUUUUUGGGAUUCAUGGAAUUUCCCGGCUGAAACAUCCCAAAAAAGAGGCUCUGGGAUGUGCGAGGUGGCAAUUCCAGCCCGGCAGCAGCAGCGGGAUGAUCCCUCUGGAAUGUCCCCGGGGUGGGUGAGGGAAGGACUGUGAUGAGGGAGAGGGAAAAUAAAGGGAAAAGGAGAACUCCAAACCCUCGCUCAGACCUGGAGGUUUCACUCCCUGCUCCCAAAUCCCUAAAGUUUGGUCCUUUCCCCACUCCCAAAUCCUGAAGGUUUGGUUCAUUCUCUCCAAAAUCCCAAAUAUUUGGUCCUUUCCCCACUCCCAAAGGUUUGGUUCAUUCUGUGUUCCCAAAUCCCAAAUAUCUGGUUCAUUCCCUGCUCCUGAAUCCCAAAGUUUUGGUCCUUUCCCCACUCCCAAAUCCUGAGGUUUUGGAUGGUUCUCAGCUCCCAAAUCCCGAAGGUUUGGUCCUUUCCCCGCUCCCAAAUCCCAAAGGUUUGGUUCGUUCCCUGCUCUUGAAUCCCAAAGUUUUGGUCCUUUCCCUGCUCCUAAAUCCCCAAAUCCCAAAGUUUUGGUCCUUUCCCUGCUCCCAAAUCCCAAAGGUUUGGAUGGUUCUCAGCUCCCAAAUCCCAAAGGUUUGGUUCAUUCUGUGCUCCUGAAUCCCAAAGGUUUGGUCCUUUCCCUGCUCCUAAAUCCCCAAAUCCCGAAGGUUUGGUCCUUUUCCCGCUCCCAAAUCCCAAAGUUUUGGAUGGUUCUCAGCUCCCAAAUCCCAAAGGUUUGGUCCUUUCCCUGCUCCCAAAUCCCAAAGGUUUGCAUUUUUCCCUGUUCCUGAAUCCCAAAGGUUUGGUUCAUUCCAUACUCCUCAAUCCCAAAGAUUUGCUUUGUUCCCCUAUCCCAAAUCCCAAAGGUGUGGUCCUUUCCCUGCUCCCAAAUCCUGAAAGUUUGGUUCAUUUCCUGGU
rnacentral:lncRNA from 1 species